UUGGUAUUUUGGUCAUUUCGAACAAGUUAGGACUUAUUUGAUAUAAGCUCGGAAAAUAUGACCUUAUUUGAUCAAGUAUAAAAGUUUAAGGCUCCAUAUGUCAUUAUCCCGGUGUUCUAGAAUUCCAUAGUGGAUAAUGAGUUCAUUGGUUUUUAGCCAAUUAUGCUUUUGUAUUGAAGUUUACCACUAAACUAAAUAAAUACCAGUUAGUUUACCUAAUUAAGUCUUAAUCCCUCUCAUUUUACCAUUUGGAAUUGAGUUGCCUGUCUUACAAACUAAUGAUCUCAAUUUAAAAAAAAAAAAAAAAAAUUGAUGGCAUUUUCAAAUGGAAUAGGUCAAAAAAUUGGAAAAGGGAUUGGGUUAUUAAGGCGGCACGAAGUGGGAACUUGCUUGGAAGCUGGUCACAUGGGCCAUGAGCAAGAGAAAUUCUUGUGGUUAGAAUUGAGUGGAGAGAAUUUUUAAAUGAAGAGAGAAAGUGAGAAACCCUAGCCAAUUGGUCAUUAAUUUGGGUUGGCAUUUUCGAUUCGUUAAUGGGUCAUAAUCUCCAUUAGUUGCUUCCUUAUCAUUGUAAUUUAGAUUUGAUUAGUGAAUUUUAAAAAAUAAAAAAAUUAUUAAUUAAUGCAAUUGUGUUAGCAAUAGUGAUGUGUUGUUCUUGUGGAUAUCCCGGUCACAAUGAUUUAAAAAAAAAAAAAGUUGAAAAAUGAAUAUUGAAAAAGGAAAAAAAAAUAUUAAGAUACAUGUAUAUAUUUACAAAUUGUUGUAUAAAUUUUAUUUGCAAAAUUUGAGGUGAGAGUUGAGGUGGCACGAAUCAUUUUUAGAUCAAUAUUGGAUUUGAAAUAGUUAUCUAGAAUCUGUAAUGUACAUUAAUAAAAUAGAAACAAAAACUUUUGUAUUUCAUUGUCGUAGAAUUUUGUUUUUAAAUAAUAAAUAAAUAUAAAUAUUAGGGUUUCUAUCUUUCUUCUAUUCCUUUCAGCCUCGGAAAAAUACUCUCCUCCAUUUAAAAAAAAUGAAAAAAAAAAUGAAAAAAAAAUAGUUUCUCUUGUGAAUUAAAAAGUUAAGGGAAUGAUUAAUUUGCUGUUAAUUUGAUUUAUGAGAAAAUAAUCAACUACAUCACAUAAUAUCUAAACAUGAUUUACUAUACUUAUUUUAUAUUUAAACACACGAUCUUUGUAAUCUCCUGACGAUCUAAUUUUGAUAUGUAAAUUAAUUUCAUUUGUAUAAUUUAAUAUUUAAUUCAAUCGAUUUAUAAACACUUGAUGAACAUUUGCCUUUUUUUUUACCUUUUAAAUCACAUAAAUUCAGAAAUGAUAUUGAUUAUCCAUCCACUGAGAGAUUAUUAAAUCAAUUAAAUUUAUAUGCAAUAAUUACAAUAUUGAACUUAGUGUGCCUACUAAUUAUAUUGGAUGUAAUUAAUUUGGUCAGCUAUGUUGGCUAGUGAGUCAUUUCAUCUAUACUGGUAAAUGGACCUACACGUUAAAGAUACUGCCAAUUUUUUGAAUUUUCCAUUUGCUCACUUAAAAAACAUGAUUAAUAAUGCUAGCUGAAAUCCAAUAAUUAUAAUAUUGACCUUGACGUGCCUACUAAUAAUUUUGGAUGUAAUUAAUUUGGUCAGCUAUGUUGGCUAGUGAGUCAUUUCAUCUAUACUGGUAAAUGGACCUACACGUUAAAGAGGAAGAUACUGCCAAUAUUUUGAAUUUCCGAGAUCCUCUUCUAAUAGCCCCAAAAAAAAAAAUUGUGUGCAAAUGGCUCAAAUAAAGGAAUAAAUGAAAAAUAAGGAAAUUCAAAAAACAUCAUUUUUUAUUUUGAUAAAAGUAAUUGGAUGGAUUUCACAAUUAGAAUGAAGAACAAGAGAAAAAGACGAAACGUUAUUGAAUUUCUUUUUUUCAAAACCCAAAAGCAUAUAAACUGUAUUUGUGUCCAAAUUCAAAAUCAAACGGGCACUCGAAUUUUCUUAUCAAUUUUUAAUGAAAAACACAAAACUUGUCGGCAGCAACGCGGAAAAAAAAAGAAAAAGAAAAUGAAAAACAAGGGAAAAAGAACAUGCAAAAUGUAAAGAGCUUCCGGUUACGUGAUAAACAAAAAAAAAAAAAGAAAUAGUAAAUAAAAUGGAAAUUGUUCAUAACAUAGGGACCCACUAGACAUUGGGCGCCGAAUCGAUCAACGGUUGGGAUGUCAUCAAUCGCAAUGACUUCUAAUGUUAAUUUUACAUUAUUAUAAAUAUUAAUUAAUUCAAUUUUUCUCUUUAAAUAAAUGAUAUAAAAGAUUUCGAAAUGAAUAAGUGUUCGAUAAUUCAUAGUCUUUCCCUAUCAUGAGGAUAACUAAGCUAACGACAAUCUUGGCCUAAAAGUAUAAUCUUUAUAACCUCACAAAAUAUAGUUUUGUGAAAGAAAUAAUCAUAUAAUGCCACCCACUGUAGGGUCAUCCUCCUUGUUCUUUUUCAACUUUUCCUUCCAAAAACAAGUUAAUUUUAUCACUAACAUCAAUUUUUCUUUUUUUUUUUUCUUUUUCUUUUUUUAAAGUGAGGCUCAAUCAAUAUCAUCAACAAUUGAAGCAAACAAACAUAAGACUUCACCAAUAACAAUUACAAUAUAUAUAUAUAUAUAUAUAUAGAUAUAUAGAUAUGUGUGUGAAAACAAAAAAAUAUUUAUAUAUAUAUAAAGAGUGAUACCGAUUAAACUUGCAUACUGAUCAUCACAAACAGAGGCGCCAUUUUAGUGAACUUGUAAUAUGUAAAUGCCAAAGAGAGAGAGAGAGUUUUUAAUUUUCUUUUUUAGUGUAGCUUUUGUUUUUUAAAAAAAAAAAAUUCCAGUUUCUUAAACCCAAUAAUAACAGUGAUAUCAAACUAAGAGCGUAAAAUUAUUUAGGCAUAACAGAUUAAGAAAACUUUCUAAUCAUGCAUCAAGAUAAGGAUCUAAAUUCUAAACUGAAGCAGUAAAAAGAAAAAGGAUAAACAAUCAAAACAAAUUAAAAAAAGAAAAAAAAAUUAACAUAUAUAUAUGAGAAGAUCAUACCUUUUAUAAUUUAUAUAUGUGUGCGUGUAUGUAAAAAGUAGAAUCUUGAUUCUUGAAUAUCAGCUGAGUUUCUAUUCCCUCUCUUUCCUAAAAGAAGGGGCUGCUGGUGCUGCUACUGCUGCACUUUUUUUUUUAUUUCUGAAAUGAGAGAGACGGGAGAUCAGAUCAGCAGGAACUUUGUAGCAAAUUUUAGUUUUCUUUCCGUUUUGGCAGCUGGGAAAGUGAAAAGAAAUUUUUUGGAAUUUUCCGGGAAUGUAAUUGCAAAAUAUCUCUGGCCCGGCCUCUUGUGUUGGUCUAAUACUGGUUGCUUCUGCUGCUUUGUGGCCAGUUGUAAAGCUGCGACUGCUUUUGGUCUCUCCCUCUCUCUCUCUCUCUCUCUCUCUCUCUAUAUAUAUUUAUAUAGAAGCAUACAUAUUACAUAACAGAUGGUUGAAGAAAGUUUAUUAGAAACUGUUGCUUUCUUCACUUCCAUUUUCAUCGACAUUGUUGCUCCACGUGUCCUUCCUUGUUUUUUUUUUUAAGUGUGCAACACAUUGUAUUUAUUUAUUUUAUAUUAUAUCGUCAUCGGCGGGACCACAAUUGGCUUGGCUCCAAGUUUCUUUCUUUUUCUUUUUUCGUUUUUUGACUCUUUAAAUUGCCAACUCAAUAACACAAUAAUUACUUAAUCAUAUGUUUGCCGAGACUCAUUUAGAUUAAUCUCAUUGGUCACAUGGGCCAUGAGCAAGAGGAAUUCUUGUGGUUAGAAUUGAGUAGAGAGAACUUUUAAAUGAAGGGAGAAAGUGAGAAACCUUAGCCUAUUGGUCAUUAAUUUGGGUUGGCAUUUUUCGAUUCAUUAAUAGGUCAUAAUCUCCAUUAGUUGCUUCCUUGUCAUUGUAAUUUAGAUUUGAAAAAAAAAAAAAAA
rnacentral:lncRNA from 1 species